ACGGAAUUGGACUAACCGCAUACACUAAAANAUAAGUAGAGUAGAGGAAAGUUUUUUCGCUUCACGAUGAGCCUGCGGCCUAUUAGCCUGUUGGUAGGGUAAUGGCCUACCAAAGCUACGAUAGGUAGCCGACCUGAGAGGGUGACCGGCCACAUUGGGACUGAGAUACGGCCCAGACUCCUACGGGAGGCAGCAGCUGAGAAUCUUCCACAAUGGACGAAAGUCUGAUGGAGCGACAUCGCGUGAGGGAUGAAGGCCUUCGGGUUGUAAACCUCGGAAAUUAUCGAAGAAUGAGUGACAGUAGAUAAUGUAAGCCUCGGCUAACUACGUGCCAGCAGCCGCGGUAAUACGUAGGAGGCAAACGUUGCUCGGAUUUAUUGG
rnacentral:rRNA from 1 species